CACGUAGGGGCCGAGCGUUGUCCGGAGUUACUGGGCGUAAAGCGCGCGCAGGCGGCCGCGUGGGCCCGGCGUGAAAGCCCCCGGCUCAACCGGGGUGGGUCGUCGGGGACCGCGCGGCUUGAGGGCGGUAGGGGCCGGUGGAAUCCCCGGUGUAGUGGUGAAAUGCGUAGAGAUCGGGGGGAACACCCGUGGCGAAGGCGGCCGGCUGGGCCGACCCUGACGCUGAGGCGCGAAGGCGUGGGGAGCGAACGGG
rnacentral:rRNA from 1 species